UUUAAUUGAAGAGUUUGAUCAUGGCUCAGAUUGAACGCUGGCGGCAGGCCUAACACAUGCAAGUCGAGCGGUAACAGAGAGUAGCUUGCUACUUUGCUGACGAGCGGCGGACGGGUGAGUAAUGCUUGGGAACAUGCCUUUAGGUGGGGGACAACAGUUGGAAACGACUGCUAAUACCGCAUAACGUCUACGGACCAAAGGGG
rnacentral:rRNA from 1 species